UUGAUGAAAGAUGAGCGGCGGACGGGUGAGUAACGCGUGGGUAACCUGCCCUAUACACAUGGAUAACAUACUGAAAAGUUUACUAAUACAUGAUAAUAUAUAUUUACGGCAUCGUAGAUAUAUCAAAGUGUUAGCGGUAUAGGAUGGACCCGCGUCUGAUUAGCUAGUUGGUGAGAUAACUGCCCACCAAGGCGACGAUCAGUAGCCGACCUGAGAGGGUGAUCGGCCACAUUGGAACUGAGACACGGUCCAAACUCCUACGGGAGGCAGCAGUGGGGAAUAUUGCACAAUGGGCGCAAGCCUGAUGCAGCAACGCCGCGUGAACGAUGAAGGUCUUCGGAUCGUAAAGUUCUGUUGCAGGGGAAGAUAAUGACGGUACCCUGUGAGGAAGCCCCGGCUAACUACGUGCCAGCAGCCGCGGUAAUACGUAGGGGGCUAGCGUUAUCCGGAUUUACUGGGCGUAAAGGGUGCGUAGGUGGUCUUUCAAGUCGGUGGUUAAAGGCUACGGCUCAACCGUAGUUAGCCUCCGAAACUGGAAGACUUGAGUGCAGGAGAGGAAAGUGGAAUUCCCAGUGUAGCGGUGAAAUGCGUAGAUAUUGGGAGGAACACCAGUAGCGAAGGCGGCUUUCUGGACUGCAACUGACACUGAGGCACGAAAGCGUGGGUAGCAAACAGGAUUAGAUACCCUGGUAGUCCACGCUGUAAACGAUGAGUACUAGGUGUCGGGGGUUACCCCCCUCGGUGCCGCAGCUAACGCAUUAAGUACUCCGCCUGGGGAGUACGCACGCAAGU
rnacentral:rRNA from 1 species